GGGUGCGAUUAUACCAGCACUAAUACACCGGAUCCCAUCUGAACUCCGCAGUUAAGCAUGCUUGGGCGAGAGUAGUACUAGGAUCGGUAACCUCCUGGGAAGUCCUCGUGUUGCACCCC
rfam:Gossypium arboreum cultivar AKA8401 contig_123594_1, whole genome shotgun sequence.